rnacentral:rRNA from 1 species
UACGGAGGGUGCAAGCGUUGUUCGGAAUCACUGGGCGUAAAGCGCGUGUAGGCGGCCUUCUAAGUCUGAUGUGAAAGCCCGGGGCUCAACCCCGGAAGUGCAUUGGAUACUGGGAGGCUGGAGUACCGGAGAGGAGGGUGGAAUUCCUGGUGUAGCGGUGAAAUGCGUAGAUAUCAGGAGGAACACCGGUGGCGAAGGCGGCCCUCUGGACGGAUACUGACGCUGAGACGCGACAGCGUGGGGAGCAAACAGG